GUGAAAGACAUACAACAGACACCAGAUUGCUACUGCUGGUGUUGCCAAACGAACAAGAGGAGCAGGAGGAGGAGGAAGAAGAUGGUGAUUCUUAGAGAGGAUUCAGUACUACUAACACCAAAGAAGUGAGGGAAGUGUUUGAAGUGAGCGUGCAUGAUAUGCAACAGAAAAAAGACUGCUACUGCCGGUGUUGCCAAAGGAACAAGAGGAGCAGGAGGAA